UCUACGGGGGGCAGCAGUAGGGAAUUUUGCGCAAUGGGCGAAAGCCUGACGCAGCAACACCGCGUGAAUGUUAAGCCCUUCGGGGUGUAAAGUUCUGUCAAUAGGGACGAAUUUUGACUGCACCUAUAAAGGAAGCACCGGCGAACUCCGUGCCAGCAGCCGCGGUAAUACGGGGGGUGCAAGCGUUGUCCGGAAGCAUUGGGCGUAAAGCGUUCGUAGGCGGCAAGGUAGGUCUGAUGGUAAAGCGCGGGGGACAACUCCGGGUCGGCAUUGGAUACUAUCUAGCUAGAAAGUGGGAGAGGUAAAGGGAAUGCGUGGUGUAGCGGUGAAAUGCGGAGAUAUCAGGAGGAACAUCGGUGGCGAAAGCGCUUUACUGGAGCCUUAUUGACGCUGAGGAACGAAAGCGAGGGGAGCAAAUGGGAUUAGAUACCCCUGUAGUC
rnacentral:rRNA from 1 species